rnacentral:lncRNA from 1 species
UCAUCAAGUGCUGUUUUUCGUCAUCCAAGUGUCAUGAGGGGUGGUGAGUUGCAGUGGAAGGAGGCUCUCAUCCUGUCCAAGAACCCCUUGGUAAUUCUCCAGAUUGCUUACUCUGGGGGAAGUUGGUUGCCACGUUAUAAGGACAUUUCAGUGGCCAACAGAGAUAUCCAUGCAACAAGAAGCUGAAGCUUCCUGCUAACAGAUAUGAGUGAGCCAUCUUGGAAGAAGAUUCUACACAUCCCCAGUCGAGCCUUCAGAUGACUGCAGCCCCUGCCAACAUCCAACCCUAUGAGAGACCCUGAGUUACAACCACCCAGCUAAGCUGCUCCUAAAUUCCUGAUCCACAGAAACUGCAAGAUAAUAAAAUUUUGCUGUUAAGCCA